rnacentral:lncRNA from 1 species
UGUAUAAAAAUGUGAUGAUCAGUAAAAUCAUGUCCGAGACCUUGAACAGGGUCUGAGCACAGCUGUAGAAAGUGUAUUAUGUACGUGUACGUGCAGUACUGUACCACAUAGCACAGUUUGAGUCCAAGAGGGACGGCAUAUACAAGAGUGGUUCCAUAUGAUUCUAAUACUGUAUUUUUACUGUACCUUUUCUAUGUCUAGAUAUGUUUAGACACACACAUCCUCACCAUUGAGUGACAGUUGCCUGCUGUAUUCACUACAGUUGCAUGCUGUGCAGGUUUGUAGCCAGGGACAAGAGCCCAGGAAACUUAAAUGUGACACUCUUUGCAAGGAUGGAGUAAACAGGAAGUGAAUAAAAUUCUAUAUUUCAACUAAAGCUCGCACUUGGGUGAAAUCUUUCAACAUAUCUUUUGUUUAAGAAAAGUCAGAACAAGAAUUUCCAAGAGAUGGGGUUUCGUUAUGUUGUCCACGCUGGUCUCGAAC